rnacentral:rRNA from 1 species
GACAGAGGGUGCAAACGUUGUUCGGAAUUACUGGGCGUAAAGCGUGUGUAGGCGGCUACAUAAGUCGGGUGUGAAAGCCCCGGGCUCAACCCGGGAAGUGCACUCGAUACUGCGUAGCUUGAGUCUCGGAGAGGUUGGUGGAAUUCUCGGUGUAGAGGUGAAAUUCGUAGAUAUCAGGAAGAACACCCGUGGCUAAGGCGGCUCUCUAGUACGGUACUGACGCUGAGACGCGAAAGCGUGGGGAGCGAACAGG